rnacentral:lncRNA from 1 species
ACUACCUUCUACAUAUUUAUAAUUUUUAUUGAAAUUAAAAUUUGAUUGAUAAUCAUGAUGUUCUAAUGACAGCAUCGCGAUCCUAUCAAACUUAGAUUUAAAGUCUAAUUGAAUUAGAUUUGAUAGGAUUUUGAAUUGAAUUUGAAUCGUAUUUGAAUUAGAUUUAAAUUGAAUCAUGGAUCAAGUCUUAAUUGAUUUAAAUCAAAUUUAAUUUAAUUAGGUUUGAUUUAAUUUGAGGUUAAUUAGGUUUUAU